ACACUUGGCCUCUGAACACAAUUGAAGCAGAGCUUCUAAUGCAUCUGCAACUGUGGGCCACUUGAUGUACCUGAAGCCCUGUCACUGGGCAACAUGAAUGUGCAGAAAGCUCUUAAAUUCAGCAUUUGAGAGACAAUCUUACUAUGUUGCCUAAGCUGAUCUUGAAAUCCGGAACUCAAGUAAUUCUCCCCCUCCCAGAGUGCUAAGAUUACAGGUGAGAG